GCAUACCCCUCUCUCCCUCUUUGGGCUUAGUCAUAACAAGUGCCUCAUGGCCUUCUGAAGUUGGUGGAGAUUGGAGCAGGCUAAAAGUCUUCAUACACAGGAAGAAGGGGCAGAAAACUAUUGGUGAAAUCUAGAACCAAGUGAUAUAAUCAAGGAGAGCUUUUCUGUGAAGUGUGAACUUGGAGCUACCUGCCAUGGAAAACAACUCUCAGCCACCAGCACCAGCAGCCCCUGCUGCAAAGGUCACGCCGCCAGCCAAGGAGCCUCGCAAGACUACAAAGCCUUCCUCCAACCUUGAGCUGGUGCGCCGAAAAAAGCUUAAGAUUACGAGGGUCCCGUCUCCUCCACCGCCCAAGCUGCCUGUUUACAGGCCUCCUCCACCGCCUAGGCCUGAACUGCCCAGCAGCUCUGCUGCAGGCAAUGCACUGCUGCCAUUGUCAUCGGAUACAGGCUUUUGUGUCUUAAACAUGCAGGCAGAUCCACCAUCACCAGACCAAGUGACAAUGGCAGAGGAGGGAUCUGACUCAGAGGGCGGCAGUGGCAGCGGAGAUGACGUGCAGAUGCUGGACUUAAACUUCCCACCAGUUUCAAACAACAAGGAAAAUUAGGGUUUGUGAGAUGUGAAGUGCGAAUGUGCGUACCUGUUAUCCUAUGAAUCAUUAAUUUAUGUUCGCAGCAGACCUUCGUCUCCAGAACUUGGUACCAGUCGUAUCUUGGAUUAUGGUUCAUGAUGUGAUGAUAAACUAAGUAUUUUGGUUAUGC